UACAGGGGGUGCAAACGUUGCUCGGAAUUAUUGGGCGUAAAGCGCGCGUAGGCGGCUACUUAAGUCGGAUGUGAAAGCCCCUGGCUCAACUGGGGAAGUGCACCCGAAACUGAGUAGCUUGAGUGCAAAAGAGGGCCGCGGAAUUCCCGGUGUAGAGGUGAAAUUCGUAGAUAUCGGGAGGAAUACCGGUGGCGAAGGCGGCAUCCUGGACCGACAUUGACGCUGAGGAGCGAAAGCCAGGGGAGCAAACGGG
rnacentral:rRNA from 1 species